UACGGAGGAUGCAAGCGUUAUCCGGAAUGAUUGGGCGUAAAGCGUCCGCAGGUGGCUAUGUAAGUCUGCUGUCAAAGAGUGAGGCUCAACCUCAUAAGAGCAGUGGAAACUACAUAGCUAGAGUGCGUUCGGGGCAGAGGGAAUUCCUGGUGUAGCGGUGAAAUGCGUAGAUAUCAGGAAGAACACCGGUGGCGAAAGCGCUCUGCUAGGCCGCAACUGACACUGAGGGACGAAAGCUAGGGGAGCGAAUGGG
rnacentral:rRNA from 1 species